AAACAACAAUUUCCCUUUACAUCUUUAGAAACUCAUUUUAUAUACAGUUUUUUUAAUAUAUGGGGUCUUUGUUUUGUGUUUUUCCCAAAGAGUAUAGAGUUAACUUCUUAAUAAUGUGAUUUCCUCUUUACUGACAUGAAGAAGUUUAAUGUCUUACCUUAGAAAAAUAUACACUUCAGCCAGCAUAUAUUUUAUGGAAAUGAUUGAAGAACCAUUAGUCUUUAUACAAUAAUAAUAUCAGUCAAAUAUAUAAGCACAUUUGAAAUUGAGCUAAAAAAAGGGGGAAAAAGAGAAAGAACUCAUGGACACGGACAGCAGUGUGGUGAUUGCCAGGGGGAAGGAUUUGUGUUUUAAAUUCUCUACACUAUUAACAAUUAUUAUUGGAUUUCUGUUUUAAUGUCACAUUACAGUUUUGAUUAAAUCUUCUCUUAACUUCAGGAUUUGCAAAGAGGGAGAGGCUGAAAAAUCAAUUAUUAUAAAUGAAAUAACUUUAACAAAAAGUGAAAAUGCAAUGAUUAUGCUAAAUUACAUUGAAAAAAUUGGGUUACUCUCUGAAAAAUUCCAAAGGCAGAGUUUUGCUGUCCCGAUUUCUCAUAAUGGACCCAGCUAACUGAAGUACGAAGUCAAGUUUAUAUCUUUUCUGUUGUAUGGUGAGUUACCAAACUAUCUUUUUCUCCAACAUUUGAAUUUCAUGUCUAAGAGUUUAAGGAAUGUAUGGCUUGGUGCAUUUGAUGUGGCACAGUUCCACAUGUGAGGGAUGGUGAUUUGAAUAGUAUGAUAGAAGUACGUGCCAAGAAUAAUUGGCUUCUGUAUUGCAGAACAGCUCAAAUACUAUGUGUAUCACAGCAUGUAAUUUGGGUGUACAAGAUGCCUGUAGUUCAAAGUGCUUUACUCCUCUGCAGUGGCAAGUUGAGCUUCCUGUUGGCUGGCUCCUGUGUUUGCAUUAAACAGCCCGGGUGCAGUUAGAAAGAGAGCACACAUCUAGUAAGUGCAUUCUCAUAAUCCUUCAAAUGAGACAGACCUUAACUCCAGGAUCCUUUCCCUCCCUGCCUGCCACCCGCCCUCCAUCCCUCCCUUCAAUUCUUCCUUCCUUCUACCGAGCAUGAUGCAAAGCAGUUCUUCCCCUGCUUACUUUGACUUUUUGGUCAACUUUCUUGAACAGUAUUUCUUGCUAUUAUUAAGAAUUACCUGAGGCUUCGCUACAACAUCCAGAGUCCUAGGCUACUACGCUUUGAAUCUGAUUUAGUAAGCUUGGGAAGGAAUAAGAGAACUUACGUUGAGCAGCUCAAGUGAUUCUUAUAAUCAGGCUAGUUUGAGAAACACUAAAGUUCUCACAUGUUAAGGCUUUGGAGUGAGAUAACCCCAUUUAUAAAUACUUGUGUGACUUUGGGUAAAUUCCCUAAACUUUCUGAGCCCUGGUUUUUAUGUGUAAAAGAGAGAUAUACUAGCUCACUGUAUUGCUAUAAUUGCUGUAAAUGCCUUUCUGAGGGUCUAUGGUUUGUCAGGAAUUUGAACAUACAUUAUCCAAUUCAUUAUCAUGAUAAGGCCUAUGUGUAAUAGAUAUUAUGUAACAGAUAUGUAAACUGAGGCUCAGGGAUAACUUUACAUUUAGUAAGUGGCAGAUUCAAAUGUAGUAUUAGAGGCCCAGUCUAGUACUUCUACUCUAUAUAACAACCUUUGCCCUUCAUCAUUGAGUCUGUUUUUAAAUAAUAUCUACACCCCUACCCACACACACACAUA